UCUUCCACCUUUUUAUUUUUUUAUUUUUUUGCAUUUUUAAAUUUUAUGCACAUUUGUAUUCUGCUACUUGUAUCCUGUCCAAUGGGAGGGGAGGAUGUAUCAGAUCUCCUGGAGUUAUAAACAGUUGUGAGCUGCCGUGUGGGUCCUGAGGAUUGAUCUCCGGUCCCCAGGUUUAGUGGCAAGCACACUUAUCUACUGAGCCAUUUUACUCUGUAACCCAGGCUGGAUUUGAAUUCACUACGUAGCCCAGGCUGUCUUCAAACGAAUAAUGAUCUUCCUGUCUCUGCCUCCCAAGUACUGGAUACGUGUCCAGGUUUUGUUCUUAAUUUUAACGUUUGUACUUUUGAAGGUGUUUUUUUUUGUUGCAUUUAUUUAUUUUGUGUGUGAGGUGGGGAGACAUAUGUGUACCACAUCUUAUGGGAGAUGGUUCUCUCUUUCCACCAAGUAGGUUCCAGGGAUCGAACUCGGAUCAUCAAGCUUGGUGGCAAGCACCUUCACCCACUCAGCCAUCUUGGUUGGCCCAUGCAUGCACUUGUCCUUUUGACCACUCUAAACCUCUAGUACAACAAGGUGGUAUGUGGUAGGUCCGUCGAAGUCAAAAAGGAAUAGUGGCUUGCUUGAGUUGCUGAUGCCCUCAGACUCAGCCCUGUCUCAUCCUGGGAAGACAGAGGCAGUAAGUACCCUCAGUUUCAGGGUUACCAUUGCUAUGAUAAACAUCCUGACCAAAAAGCAAGUUGAUGAGGAAAGGAUUUAUCUGGCUUAUGUUUCCACAAAAUAGUUCAUCAUCCAAGUCAGGGCAGGAGCCUGGAGGCAGGAGCUGAUGCAGAGGCCACAGAGAGGUGCUGCUCGCUGGCUUUCUCCCCAUGGCUUUCUCAGCCUGCUUUCUUAUAGAACACCAGUACACUGCCCACAGUGGACUCGCCCUCCCCCACCAAUCUCAGGCUUUCCUACAGUCAAAUCUUAUGGGGACACUUUCCCAAUUGGAGUUCCCUCCUCUCAAAUGACUCUAGCCUGUGUCAAAUUGACAUAAAAGUACCCAGCACAUCCCAUUUACCCAAACUGACCAUGCUAGAUCUCCAACCCCUGGCAUCUAAUCAAGGAGCCUUGUUUCUUUCUGACUCGGCUUCACAAAAACACAAUGGAGUUUUGCUGCUGCUUAAUGAGCAGAGAAAGGUCCACGGUCCCACUGAGUGUAGUGGCUCGGGACUGUGUAAUUCUAGCUCUCCAGAGAUGGAGGCAGAGGGAUCAGGAGUUCGAGGACGACCUGGGCUACAUGAGACCCGGUCUCAACAUAAAAAACCAAAAGCGACAACAAAAAACCAAGGAUUGAGGAUGUAGUUCCGUUGACAGAGUGCUCACAUGCCAUGCACAAAGCUCUGGGUCCCAUCCCUGGUACUGUGUAAGCUGGAUGUGGGGGUCCAGGCCUCUAAUCCCAGCAGAUGAGAGAAGGGCAGGAGAAUCAAGUUUAAGUUCAUCCGAGGUGUCCCAGGUUCAAGUCUAGAAUCCAUGAGUCAGAAUUCAUUUCUUUUCAGGUGAGAUCCAGGAUGUGGCCUGGUUCCUGGCUUCCUGAAGCAUCCCCUCUGACUUCCCUCCUGGUGUCAUCGUAUGUUAGUGAUGUAACCUCGAGCCUUCUGGUUGGUUUUAACCUGUAGAACAGAGUGGGCUGUGCCUGCUUCAUGAAGUCUUUGUGGGGAUUAGAUGAGAUAACCUCUGAAGAGUCUUGGCAUGCUCACAGCUACGUUAUGAAGUCGUCCUAAUGUGCCAAGUAUUGGAUGACAAAGCCCAUUUUACAGAUGAAGAGCUAAGGCUAAGAGAAGGGAAGUCAUCUUGCCCCAUUAGCAGCUGAUAGCUUCCCGUGCUUGGGCUGACAUGAGGGAGGCUUUGUGGGCAGCAUCUAAACCUGCUGCCUGGGCAGAUUAGAAAGAGCCACAUACCUACCUCUGGUCAUUUUCAUUUUAGUUCAUGAACAACCAAGACCAAGGCAGGGGUGACCAAGCAUGAAGGCUCGGGGACAAAUGUUGGCCUGGCAAGACCGUUCCAGAAGGCCGGGGAAGGGGCCCAGCGGGAGCUGUAGAGGUCACCUGAGCUGCAGUCUGUAGUCCAGAGAUUCAGCCGUGUCAGCUUUGGAUCACAGUUCCCAGGCCAGGCCCCAGCAUCUGCCUCGUCAGACAUUAAUGCUCAUGACAAUUUAUUAUGUCAUUUAUUAACAGAAUUUUCACCAUACAUGCAUCUGGGUCCUGGCCUGGGGGAAAUUUAGACUUUCUUGAAUGGGGAGAGUGCGUAAUUUUCAAGUCGAGCGUUCACAAGAGAAUGCUUUUAUGUAACUAGCAUUCCGGAGUAUAGUCAACCGAGAUCAGCUGGGCUGUGUGACUGCCUGGCACUCCCUCCAGGUGGAGGGAAAAGAGAUGCUAGGAGUUGAAAGUUGGUCCACAUCGGAUGGGAAGCCCAUGCCCGUAAGCCUAGCACUGGGUAGAUAGAGGGCUGAUGAUCAGAAGUUCAAAGUCAUUUUCAGUGCUCUGACGAGCAACAUAAAAUUGUGCCCUAGGGGGCUGAAGAGAUGGCUCAGUGGCUAAGAGCACUGACUGCUCUUCCCAAGGUCCUGAUUUCAAAUCCCAGCAACCAUCUGUGAUGAGAUCUGUCUCUUCUGGAGUACUUGAUGACAGCUACAGUGUACUUAUAUACAAUAAAUAAAUCUUU
rnacentral:lncRNA from 1 species